GUUUAAAUAGCUUAAAAAUUAAAGGGCGUAAUAUUGAAGAUAUUAAAGUGGUUAUUUUAACCUUUAAACA
rnacentral:tRNA from 1 species